CUUGCUUUCUAUUAAUUAGGUGGCAGCUACUGCAUUUGUUGACCUUUGUCUACGAAUUGGACCAGAUAAUACUGUCAUACAUGUUUUGCCACAUCUAAAAGAACUUUUCGCUGAAUUGGCCUUUUUUCAAGACUCUUCUGCUGUUAGCCUUCCUACAAAAGGGUUAAAAAUCUCAGAAAGAAACAAAAGUGAGCCGAUUAAAAUGGAAUCUAGAAUUGAUCUCGUGUUGUUGCUAUAUCCUUUCUUGGCAUCACUUGUUGGAAUAGAGAAGCUCCGUGAAUACUGCUCUACAUGGUUUCUAUUGGAGCAGUCUCUUCAAAGGUUGUACAAUUGGAAGUUUGAGCCUUCCAGUAAAUGUUCUAUAAGUGCUGAAAACAUGAAAAGUCAAAG